rnacentral:lncRNA from 1 species
UAUAAAGAUAAAGAAGGUCAAUUUUAAUAAUAUAAGUUUCACUUUACUGGGAAGACAUAACAACUUAAAAUAUGUAUGCACUUAAUAGUGCAGACUCAAGGCAAAGCCAGAUGAGAAACAGACCUGCUAUAAUCAUAGUGGGAGAUAUUUUUAUACACCACCUUCUCCGUAAUUGCUAGAACAAGCAGUAGACAAUAACAACCAGGGAUAUAGAAUAUACUGCACAAUAAAAUUUCUCUACCCAAUGGAUAUAUACAGGGCAUUGUACCCUACAGCUAACAGGAAGACACAUUUUAUUCAAGUACAUAAGGAACAUUUUUAAUAUGCUGAGCCAAAGAGAAAUUAUCAAUAAAUUCCAAAGCAUUAAAAUCAUACCACAUAUGUUUCUCCAACUAUAAUACAAUUAAGCUGGAACUCAAUAACACAAAGAUAACUAGAAAAACCACAUAUGUUUUGAAAUUGAGAAUCAUACUUCUAAUUAACCUUUGAGUCAAAGAAUAAAUCAAAGUUGAAAUUAGGAAAUAUUUAGAGCCAAACAAGAAGGAAAAUUCUACAUGUGAAAGCAGUUCUUAGAAGGAAAGUGAAGUCUUAAAUAUAUUGGAAAGGAAAAUGGACUGAAAAUUGCAUCUUAAGAAGUUGGAAAAGAACAAAAUAUGUAGCAUUGAGGAUGUAAUUAAGAUAAGAUGCAGGAUUAAUUGAAAUAGGAAAACAUCAAUGAUGUAGAGAGAAUCAACAAGAUAAAAGCUGGUUCUUUGAGAAAACUAAUUAAAUUGAUGAUCUUUGGCAGGACUAAUGAAAGGAUGAGAGGAAACACGGGUUACUAUUAUUAAGAAAAAGGUGGCAGAGGUAUAGUUGACAGAGAUCCUUGAAACACAGCAGGGGAUGUACAAGUCUAGGCAAUAAAACUCAAACAUUUCUAUAGGAAGGAAAAUUCUUAAAUAAAUAAUAACCAAAACCAAUUUGAGAAAUAGAAAACCUGAUUAGUUUUCCAACCAUUAAGAAACUUAAAUCAACAGUGAAAAAUCUUGACCUCCACAAGUCUUCACUAGUGAAUCCUAC